UUCAAGGAGAUUUGGAGAUCAAGAAUACAAUUCUUGAGUGUUUCUAUAUUUUCUUUUAUUCUCUUAUUUUCUUGGUUUUGUUUUUAAUGUUUAGAUUUUAUUCAAUGAUGAUGCAUGACUUGAUGAGGAACUAAGUUUUUAAUCUAAGAUUAUGAUUGAACUCAAUAUAUAGUCUGAAUUAUUUAUCUUUCUUUUACUUAUGUUUGAUGGAUUUAAAUUGUUUAUUUUAUUCUAUUCUUAAUGCUUCUAGUUGACUGGCCACCAAUUAGAUUGAAUUGGAAACUUAGGUUAAACCUUGACAAAGGAGAUUUAGGUUGACCUUGAAUAGAAUAUCGUAUGAUCGAAUGCACUUAGUUGAUUAGGUGGUUUGAUUUGCAUAUAGGGUAGACAUACACUUAUAAGCCACACGUAGCCAAAAUUAGAGCACAAACUUAAUGAAUUAAUCUUCAAUUUAAUUUGCAUAGACAUAUAGUAAAUUAAUUGAGAAAGGUAUUUUUAUAAGAAACUCGACAGAGACUUGUAAAUAAUUUCGGAUUCUAGGUUAACAACUUAAUACAUUAAACUAAGUUAAGAGAGAGAGAUAAUAAUCAAAUAAAGUAUUGAGGGAUAUCACAAUCUUAGGUCUGGUAGUCAUUCACAUUUAAUAAAGUAAAUUUGCUAAUAGAUUUUAGAUUAAGUUUUAGUUUUCGCUAUUAGUUUAUUAAUUUAAAUAUUUCUUUUUAAUUUUAAUUGUUUAGAUAAAAUUAAGGUGUGUUAAUUUUAGUAGUUAACUAUAAGGAUUAAUUCAAUUCUCUAUGGGAUCGACACUCUACUCAUCUCUAUAUUAUCUUUGCGAUACGUACACUUGCUUGAGUAGAAAAUUGAACAACAAGUUUUUUGGCGUCUUUGUCGGGGAAUUGAUUUUUAAUUCUUUCUUGUUAAUAUUAAUACCAAGCAUUCUUAAUUUUAAUCUAGAUUUUUCUUUUCUUUAAUUGUUUUAGGUACUUUUGGUCGUUGUAUGAGAAGAGCCUGAAAUUUGGAAAUUGUUCCUUUUGAUACAAAAAUCAGAAAAUCUUUUCAUAGACUUCGGAGGAAAAAUAAAAAAAAUUCUGCUUUAAGUAAAACAAAUGGCUGAUCAACAAGAGGAAGAGACUAAGCCUUUGAGGGAUUAUGCAGUCCCACAACUACAAAAUCUCCACUCUAGUAUCUGAAGACCUCCUAUUCAAGCCAACAAUUUUGAAAUUAAACCAUUAAUCAUUCAGAUGAUUCAGACUACUGCUCAGUUUGGGGGUUUACCUAAUGAUGAUCCGAAUGCUCAUAUUGUAAAUUUCUUGGAAAUCUGCGAUACAUUCAAGGCUAAUGGUGUUACUGAUGAUGCCAUAAGAUUGAGGCUUUUCCCUUUUUCAUUGAGAAAUAAAGCAAAGAGUUGGUUAAAUUCGCUUCUUGCUGGUUCCAUUAAUACUUGGGAUGAUUUGGCUCAAAAAUUCUUAGCAAAGUUCUUCCCACUUGCAAAGUCAGCAAUGAUGCAGAAUGAUAUUACUUCUUUCAUGCAAUUUGAUUCUGAAUCACUAUAUGAGGCUUGGGAGAGGUAUAAGGAUUUGAUGAGAAUAUGUCCUCACCAUGGAUUACCUAAGUGGCUGCAAGUUCAGGCUUUUUAUAAUGGUUUGCUGGGACCUUUUAGAACUACUAUUGAUGCCGCUGCUGGAGGUGCACUUAUGAGUAAAUCCAUUGAUGAGGCUUAUGAUUUGCUCUAAUAGAUAGGCUCUAAUAAUUAUCAAUGGCCAUCUGAAAGAUUGGGUACAAGAACAAUUGCUGGAAUUCAUGAAUUAGAUGUGUUGAAUACUGUUUCUACACAAUUGGCCUCUCUCACAAAGAAAAUAAACAAACUGAGUGUUAAUGUUGUUCAGAACUCCUUUAUGACAUGUGAAUUUUGUGGGGAAGGACAUUCCAAUGAAAAUUGUCCCAUCUAUUCUGAGUCUUAUCAAUUUGUUGAAAAUAGGCAACAGAACAAUCCCUAUUCCAACACUUAUAAUCCUGGUUGGAGGAAUCAUCCUAAUUUUUCAUGGAAUAACAACCAAGGGUCUUCAUCAGUGGCUAAGUCAAACUUUCCUCCUAGAAUUCCAUCUAGAGACCCUAUGCCAGAGAAAAAGCCUUCAAUGGAGGAUAUGUUCAUGCAAUUCAUGACAAAGACUAAUGCAUUCAUGACAAAGACUGAUGCCUCCAUUCAAAAUUAAACAGCUUCAAUUAGAAAUCUUGAGAGACAAAUGGGCCAACUUGCCAGUGCUUUAAAUACUAGACCUCAAGGUACCUUACCUAGUGAUACUGAACCCAAACCAAGAAUAGAAGGUAAGGAACAUUGUAUGGCAAUCACUCUCUGCAACGGAAAAGAGGUAAGUGAAAAGGUAAGUAGUAAGGAAUUAAAUUUAGAAAUUUCAAUUCAAUCUGAUGAGAAAGAAAUUGAAAAAGAUGCUGAACAAGAUAUUGUGGUUGAAAAAUUGCUAAAAAUUCAAAAGAAAAAUCACAAUCUGCCCCCACACCUCCACCACCUUUUCCUUAACGUUUUCAAAAGCAAAAACUUGACAAACAAUCCCAAAGGUUUCUUGAGGUAUUUAAAAAACUGCAUAUUAAUAUUCCUUUUGCUGAAGCUUUAGAACAAAUGCCAAGUUAUCUUAAAUUCUUGAAAGACAUCCUGACCAAAAAAAGGAAAUUGGAAGAGUUUGAGAUAGUUACACUUAUUGAAGAAUGCAGUGCUAUAAUCUAGAAUAAGCUUCUACCAAAGCUUAAAGAUCCAGGGGGUUUUUCUAUUCCAUGCACUAUUGGUAGUUUUAAAAUUUCUAAAGCUUUAUGUGCUUUAGGUGCUAGUGUUUCAAUAAUGCCUUUAUCUAUUGCCAGGAAACUUGGAUUUCAAGAGAUAGAACCUACUACAGUUACCUUGCAAUUAGCAGACAUAACAAUUAGGCACCCAGUUGGGAUUAUAGAGGAUGUUUUGCUUAAAGUUGGGAAUUUAUACAUUCCGGUAGACUUCAUUAUGCUCAAGAUUGAAGAUGAUGUUGAAAUUACUCUUAUUUUGAGAAGACCAUUCUUAGCUACAGUUGGAGCACUUAUUGAUGUGAAGAAUGACAAAAUAACUUUUAGAGUUGGAGAGGAGAAAGUGGUAUUUAAUUUGUUUAAUGCAACUCAGUAUCCCUAUACAAAUAGUUGCUAUAAAGUGGAUUUAGUCAAUGAGGGUAAAGGUAAGCCUAUUCCACCACCUUCAACAGAGCAGGUGCCAAUUCUUGAGACAAAACUACCACCACUUUCCAGCUAUCUUGAUUUUGUGGUUGGACAGCGAGUAGUACUUUCUGAUUCACAACUCUAUCUUUUGCCAUGGAAUCUUAGACCAUAUUGGGGGAACAAGUUUAAGGUAAAAAAAAUUCAUCCUUAUGAUGUUAUCGAGAUUUAUAGUGGACUUACCGGAGCAGUCAAGGUUAAUAAAGAAAAUCUCGAGCCGUAUAAAGUAGUGUAGAAGGGGGUACCAUAGUCAAGCUAGUGACUAUAAAGAUGCACUUCUUGGGAGGCAACCCAAGCACUCUAACUUACUUUCUUUUAUUUUUAUUUAUUUAAUUAUUAAAUUAUUAACAUUCUCUUUUAUUUGUGUAGGUUCAUGUAAAAAAAAUUCAAUUUUUUUUUUAAAUUUAAAAAAAAUUUCAAGAAAAAUAUAUAUUUCAAAAAAAUUCAAAAAAAAAAUUUCAUAUCAAAAAAUAUUUCAAAAAAAAUAAAAAAAGUGGUCAGCCACGGCUCCCAUUAUGGGAAGCCGUGGCUUUGCGAGGUGUAAUCAACGUGAGCCUCGGCUCACCAAGCUCGUAGCCGCGGCUCUUUAAAAAAAAAAAAAGAAAAGGGGGCCAUUUGGACAUGGGUCAUGGCUACCACAUGGGGUAGGCCACGGUCCCUCUUGAAGUGGCAACCCACUACCCACCACCCUCAAUUGGGCUGCCAACAUUGGGUAGCCCACUAACCCAGCCCAAAUCCCAUUUUUUUAUUCAUUUGGACUACCCAUUUACCCCCUUACCCACUUACCUACUAACCCAUUUACCCAUUACCCAACAAAAACUUUUCAUUUAUUUAUUUUCUUUUUAGUUAUUUUUAUUAUUUAUUUUAUUUCUCUACAUUAAUUAAUUAAUUAAUUAUUUUUUUGUAGUAAAAAAAAAUUCCUCCAAGUGGCAAUGAAGAUGAUAACAAUAAAAAAGAGGAUUAGAGCUUCUCAAAAAUUCAUCCAAUCAUCAGGGGAAUAUUCUUUACUUUUUCUUUAUUUUUUCUAACAUUUAGGACAAUGUUUACUUUAAGUUUGGGGGGAUGAAUUUAUUUUUCUGAUGGUGAACAUUUUGUGGAAGCUUUAAAUUUAAUUUUAUGUGCAUGUUUAUCUAGAUUUAUAAAUAGUUUAGGAUUAGUUGGUAAAAGAAUUUAAUUUUUGUUUGAAUUUUAGGAAUCUAGAGUAAAGUUGUGCCAAUUUUUUCAAUGAUUUUUUUUAUCCAAUGAUGAUAACUAGUUGUCUUGAAUUUUUAGCCUUUGGUGAAUAAGGUUUUUGUUUGGAUUCAUACUAAAUUUUUUUAUUAAGUAUCAUUGUUAGGAUGUGAUUUCCACAAUUUUGAGCACUAAAUCUUUUACUUUGAAUUAUUAUGAAUAUUUAGAGAAGGUUUAUAUUGAUGUAAAUUUUAUAUUAUGUAAUGAAUUCUAGAAUUUGCUUGAUUUUCUCUAGAGGUGUAAUCUUAGGCAAUACUUAGUUAGGGAGAUGAUCUAGGCCAUCUUUGGACCGUCUGAGCCUAAAAAGCCAACUUUGUUAAAUUUUUAUCCCUAGUAUACCCCUUUUGAGCCUAAUUUCCCUUUUCUUUGUUUAACUACAUAUUAUUGAGCCUAGCUUUAAAAUUAAUUUUCCAAUUUUGCAACCCUCACUCCUAACCAUGUAUAUUAUUUUGGGAAAUAUAAAUUGAGCUAAACGUUGAAAAAGAUGGAAAGGUGAUGUUGUUGUGAAAAAAAAAAGUUCAAAAUAUGCAAAAUAACCCCACUACUUACAAUACAAAGAAAAUAAGUUUGGGGGUGUGAAAUUGUGAAAAAAAAAAGUAUUGAAUGAAAGAAAAAUUCAAAUGUGGAAGAAAGGUGUACUAGGAGAAGGAAAAUAAAGCUCUAUAUAUAGGUCCUAGAAUAAUUUAGUACUUAGGAUGAUUUGAGCUACAUUAAUAUCCUUUAUCAUACCUUGACCCUAGCCAUGCAUUACAAGCUUUAUAAAGUCCUAUUGAUCCCUAGCUUUAUAUUGGUUUACAUUAGUGGAGAGAGAGAUGAAAAGUAAACAUAUGGAAAUCUAGUAUUAAUUUCAAAUUUGUGUUGGCAUAAACUCAUCCGGAUAUCAUGAUAUUCUUCGUAAAAGAUUUCAUACACACACAGAAAUCCAUUUGAGAAUGUGCUUGCAUUAGAAUUGAAACAUGAAUUUAAAUGAUGCCUAUAUUUUUCCUUAAACUAAUGAUUGAUAGACAUACUUUUGAGGAAGUUAUAAAGAAUCUUUGAGUUGGUGCACUUUAUCUCUAGUAGUAGUAGUAGUAGUAAUAACUAUAUUUAUUUUAGUUUUCAUUAACCGAAUUUGAUUCUCGUAAGUUAGGUUCUUUUCUAUGUUUUGCUCGAGGACUAGCAAAAUCUUAAUUUUGAGGGUGUGAUAACUCUAUGAUAUAGAGUUAUUUGGGCUUAAUUUUGAUAAUAAUUUGGCUAGGUUUUUGUAGUAAUGCAUAGAAAUUAGUAGGUUUUAUUUAAUUAUUUUAAAUUAGUUAUUUUAGGUGAGUCAAUCUAAUAUUAGUUAAUUUUAUGCUUAAUUUGGUGUUAAUGUAGAUAAGAUAGGUUGUUAUUGAUUUAUUUGUGCUUUAGUAGGUGUAUGAAAAGAAGAAUUUUAGUAAAAGAAGGAGAGCAAUUUCAAGGUGCAGACUUCCAAUGCAUAUGUUUAGGUAUUUUGACCAUAAAUUUCUCUACAAAGAUCCAAAUGAAGCUAUUCUUAGACCAUUGGAAAGCUGAGAGAAAGAUAUAAAACUUUUAAGUUUACCACUUUGCCCAGUUCGGUAUGGAAGAUGGUCCAAUAUCUAAUUGAAGUUGACGCACUGCAGCAGUCCUAGAGCAAUUACGAUUUCUGUUAAGUAAUUUGGCAAAGCUGCGACUUACAUAGUUUGAUGAGGAAAUCCCAGCUAAAAUUGACUUCUUUCUUCAACCAACUUGGCCUAACUUCAAAGCCUAUAAAAACAACCUUUCGGAGGACUAAAAGGAGGAAGAAAACACUAGAUUGACAUCGGAGAGUCAAGCCACAGAGUCAUUGAAGCUAAGAAGAAUUUGAAGCAUUCAAGGAGAUUUGGAGAUCAAGAAUACAAUUCUUGUGUGUUUCUAUAUUUUCUUGGUUUUGUUUUUAAUGUUUAGAUUUUAUUCAAUGAUGAUGUAUGUCUUGAUGGAGAACUAAGUUUUUAAUCUAAGAUUAUGAUUGAACUCAAUAUAUAGUCUGAAUUUUUUAUCUCUCUUUUACUUAUGUUUGACGGAUUUAAGUUGUUUAGUUUAUUCUGUUCUUAAUGCUUUUAGUUGAGUGGCCACCAAUUAGAUUGAAUUGGAAACUUAGGUUAAACCUUGACGAAGGAGAUUUAGGUAGACCUUGAAUAGAAUAGUGUAUGAUCGAAUGCACUUAGUUGAUUAGGUGGUUUGAUUUGCAAAUAAGGUAGACAUACACUUAUAAGCCAUAUGUAGCAAAAAUUAGAGCACAAACUUAAUGAAUCUUUCUUCAAUUUAAUUUGCAUAGACAUAUAGUAAAUUAAUUGGGAAAGGUAUUUUUAUAAGAAACUCAAUAGAGACUUGUAAAUAAUUUAGGACUCUAGGUUAACAACUUAAUCCAUUAAACUAAGUUAAGAGAGAGAGAUAAUAAUCAGAUAAAGUAUUGAGGGAUAUCAUAAUCUUAGGUCUGGUAGUCAUUCACAUUUAAUAAAGUAAAUUUGCUAAUAGAUUUUAGAUUAAGUUUUUGUUUCGUUAUUAGUUUAUUAAUUUAAAUUUUUUUUAAUUUUAAUUGUUUAGUUAAAAUUAAGGUGUUAAUUUUAGUAGUUAACUGUAAGGAUUAAUUAAAUUCUCUGUGGGUACACUUGCGUGAGUAGAAAAUUGAACAACAUUACUCCUCAAGAUGACCCCCUUUAGCCUUAAAAAAUGAUUGUAUUUAUAUCCCUUUUGAUGACCAUUUGAUGUAAAAUCGAAUGGCAAAAAAUGUGCAGACUUAUGUGUCAAUGCUUAGGCACCAAAAGGCUGGUGCUCAGGCCCCCAAGGUUCUAUUUUGUGACUUGUUUGAACAUGCUGGACAGUGCAUUUGAUGCCUAGACGCCCGAGCUUCUGUCAACACUGAUUGUAGUCUACUACAAUCAAUCAACUUCCUUUUCAUUUUUGACCAUGAUCUCUUCCUAACUGAGUGAAGUGUAAAACAUCAAAAUUGUAGUUCUUCUUCUAAAUUUUCUACAGGUCCAAGAAUCAUGUCAAUUGGAGUUCUGUAUCUCGAUGUUCAAAGGCCUUUCUUAAGUUACUUGCACCAUUCUUUGCCAUUUGAGUUCCAAGUCUUUACGUCAUGGACCACCGUUCAGAGCAUUAAAAGAAGCCCUAGGGUGUUUCAGAGUGCCAGCAUAUGGGGGAGUAUUGUUGGGAGAGAACCCCAACUUGGUAGCAUGAGCAGAUGCAAGCUGCACAGUAGGAGCGCACAUCACUAGCACCUAGGCGAGCGAACCCGUACAACACCUAAGCAAACUGCCUGUGGGUGGCCUAGACGAGUCAGCUUGCACAGCGCCCAGGUAGACUAUUGUGGGCUGCCCAAAUGAGUCAAACUGCCUAAAACUUGGAUUGACCCACCACUGUAGCCCUUAUAAUGACCUAAACUGCCUGUAUUCAAAUUGUCCUACCCAAAACUGUUUUGUAUAGCCAUUUUGAAUCUUGGGGGGGAAUUUUGGCUAUAAUAGCCCUUGUAAAUCACUUGUAUAGCAAAUGGCUUAAUGAAUACAAUUUUUUCACUCUCAAA
rnacentral:lncRNA from 1 species